rnacentral:rRNA from 1 species
UACAGAGGGUGCAAGCGUUGUUCGGAAUUAUUGGGCGUAAAGCGCGUGUAGGCGGCUUUGCAAGUCGGGUGUGAAAGCCCUCGGCUCAACCGAGGAAGUGCGCCCGAAACUGCAGAGCUUGAGUACCGGAGAGGAUGGCGGAAUUCCCCAAGUAGAGGUGAAAUUCGUAGAUAUGGGGAGGAACACCGGUGGCGAAGGCGGCUCACUGGCCCGUUACCGACGCUCAGGCGCAACAGCGUGGGGAGCAAACAGG